AGCGACAGGCCUAACACACUGCAAGUCGAGGGGCGAGCACAAGGAGCAAUCUGAGGUGGCGACCGGCGCACAGGUGAGUAACACGUAUGCAACCUGCCUGUAAGCGGGGAAGUAACCCGUUGAAAGACGGACUAAUACCGCAUAAUACUAAAUUACUGCAUGGUAAUUUAUUUAAACAUUUAUGGCUUACAGAUGGGCAUGCGCAUGAUUAGCUAGUUGGAGAGGUAACGGCUCCCCAAGGCAACGAUCAUUAGGGGUUCUGAGAGGAAGGUCCCCCCACACUGGUACUGAGACACGGACCAGACUCCUACGGGAGGCAGCAGUGAGGAAUAUUGGUCAAUGGACGAGAGUCUGAACCAGCCAAGUCGCGUGCAGGAAGAAUGUCCUAUGGAUUGUAAACUGCUUUUGCAGGGGAAUAAAGUGCAUCACGUGUGAUGUUUUGUAUGUACUCUGCGAAUAAGGAUCGGCUAACUCCGUGCCAGCCGCGGC
rnacentral:rRNA from 1 species